CAAUGGGCGAAAGCCUGACCCAGCAACGCCGCGUGUGUGAUGAAGGCCUUCGGGUCGUAAAGCACUUUUCUGGGAGAUGAGAAAGGACAGUAUCCCAGGAAUAAGUCUCGGCUAACUACGUGCCGGCAGCCGCGGUAAAACGUAGGAGGCGAGCGUUAUCCGGAUUCACUGGGCGUAAAGCGCGUGCAGGUGGCGCGGUAAGUUGGGCGUGAAAUCUCCCGGCUCAACUGGGAGAGGUCGUCCAAUACUACCGUGCUUGAGAGCAGAAGAGGAAGAUGGAAUUCCCGGUGUAGUGGUGAAAUGCGUAGAUAUCGGGAGGAACACCAGUGGCGAAGGCGAUCUUCUGGUCUGUUUCUGACACUCAGACGCGACAGCUAGGGUAGUAAACGGGAUUAGAGACCCCGGUAAUCCUAGCCGUAAACGAUGUGAACUUGGCGUUGGUGGGUUAAACUCCAUCAGUGCCGCAGCAAACGCGAUAAGUUCACCGCCUGGGGACUACGGCCGCAAGGUUA
rnacentral:rRNA from 1 species